UACGUAGGGUGCGAGCGUUAAUCGGAAUACUGGGCGUAAAGCGUGCGCAGGCGGUUAUGCAAGACAGAUGUGAAAUCCCCGGGCUCAACCCUGGGAACUGCAUUUGUGACUGCAUGGCUGGAGUGCGGCAGAGGGGGAUGGAAUUCCGCGUGUAGCAGUGAAAUGCGUAGAUAUGCGGAGGAACACCGAUGGCGAAGGCAAUCCCCUGGGCCUGCACUGACGCUCAUGCACGAAAGCGU
rnacentral:rRNA from 1 species